UACGUAGGGACCAAGCGUUGUCCGGAAUCAUUGGGCGUAAAGAGCGUGUAGGCGGCUUGUUAAGUCUUGCGUGAAAUCUCGGGGCUCAACCCCGAGCGGUCGUGAGAAACUGGCAGGCUAGAGUGCGGGAGAGGAGAGUGGAAUUCCUGGUGUAGCGGUGAAAUGCGCAGAUAUCAGGAAGAACACCAGUGGCGAAGGCGCCGCUCUGGGCCGAGACUGACGCUGAGGAGCGAAAGCGUGGGUAGCAAACAGG
rnacentral:rRNA from 1 species